rnacentral:lncRNA from 1 species
AGAAGUGAGGCAGCCGUGAGGCGGAGGACAGGCUGGGGGAUCCCAAAGGGUCCGCUCCAGCCCCCAACCCAGGCACUGGGACUCUGGUGGCACCCUGGGUGGCAGGCAAGCCUUGAAAUCAAGUGCACGAGCCUUGGAAAGGAGGACCGGGAGAGUUAUGGCAUUUAUGAAUAAAGAAGAGAAAGAGAAUCACUCGGAUGGGAAAAGUUAACUGGAUUGUUCCCACCUGCAUGGAUCACCGGGAUGAAGCUGUGCCACCCUGUAGGAAUUAGAAGACCACGUCCAGGAAUUGAGCAUCGGGUGCAGGAUCCAGUCUUCUGAGGCCCUGAAACCACAUGAAGCAACUUAGCCGUCUCGCCUUGCGGCCUGGAAGCCCUGGCAAUUUCCGGAGCACCGGCAAGAGACUUUUGCACAGUUUCUGCUUGGAGUCUACCGACUGUCUGUCUCAGAGGUCUGGACAGCUGCUUGUUACAUUUGGCUCACGCUAGCUUUAAAAAGGAAUGUAUGGACCUUACUGCAGAACGUCCCAAUUCUUCAGGCCAAGGUGCAUGUGUU